rnacentral:rRNA from 1 species
UACGAAGGGGGCUAGCGUUGUUCGGAAUUACUGGGCGUAAAGCGCACGUAGGCGGGUCGUUAAGUCAGGGGUGAAAUCCCGGAGCUCAACUCCGGAACUGCCUUUGAUACUGGCGAUCUUGAGAUCGGAAGAGGUGAGUGGAAUUCCCAGUGUAGAGGUGAAAUUCGUAGAUAUUGGGAAGAACACCGGUGGCGAAGGCGGCGACCUGGUCCUUGACUGACGCUGAGGCGCGAAAGCGUGGGGAGCAAACAGG